UACGUAGGGCGCAAGCGUUGUCCGGAAUUAUUGGGCGUAAAGAGCUCGUAGGUGGUUUGUCGCGUUGUUCGUGAAAACCGGGGGCUUAACCCUCGGCGUGCGGGCGAUACGGGCAGACUGGAGUACUGCAGGGGAGACUGGAAUUCCUGGUGUAGCGGUGGAAUGCGCAGAUAUCAGGAGGAACACCGGUGGCGAAGGCGGGUCUCUGGGCAGUAACUGACGCUGAGGAGCGAAAGCGUGGGGAGCGAACAGG
rnacentral:rRNA from 1 species